UUAAUAACUAUGAACGGAAGUAGUAAAAGCACAGGCUUUUGCAGAGAGGGCGCGCACGGCUGCAACGUGCCUAAAGCAAUGGCUUUGAAGUAGUCCGGGAGUUGGCUGGCUGAACUGAAAGUAAGCUUGCCCGUAAGCGUGCGUUAAGCGUUUCAAGGUGUCCGGCUUUGGCCGGGAAGAUAGGUGGUACCGCGAUUUUGUCGUCCUGUUU
rnacentral:ncRNA from 1 species